rnacentral:rRNA from 1 species
ACGAACGCUGGCGGCGUGCUUAACCCAUGCCAGUCGAACGGGAUAAUUUGAGAGCUUGCUCUUAGAGAAUCUAGUGGCAAACGGGUGAGUAACACGUAGACAACCUGCCGACAGGAUGGGGACAACAUUCCGAAAGGAAUGCUAAUACCGAAUGAAGCGGAGGAGAGGCAUCUCUCCUCCGUGAAAGAUGGCCUCUGAAUAUGCUAUCACCUGUCGAUGGGUCUGCGUCUGAUUAGCUAGUUGGUGAGGUAACGGCUCACCAAGGCGACGAUCAGUAGCCGGUCUGAGAGGAUGAACGGCCACAUUGGGACUGAGACACGGCCCAGACUCCUGCGGGAGGCAGCAGUGGGGAAUCUUCCGCAAUGGGCGCAAGCCUGACGGAGCAACGCCGCGUGAGUGAAGAAGGUCUUCGGAUCGUAAAGCUCUGUUGACGGGGACGAACGUGCGAAGGGUGAAUAAUCCUUUGUAAUGACGGUACCUGUCGAGGAAGCCACGGCUAACUACGUG